GUAUCUAUUAAAAGAAAAGACGGUUAGCACUCUUCUUGAUAAAGAUGGAACACAAUAAAAUUGUAACAACUACUUUACCACACUUCUUCAUGGUUGUUUCCGCAAGCGAUCUCGUGGUGUCCCCAAAGAGAAGAACUUUUU